ACCCGCACAAGCAGCGGAGCGUGUGGUUUAAUUCGAUGCUACACGAAGAACCUUACCAGGGUUUGACAUGCUAGUGGUAGGAAACCGAAAGGUGACCGACCCUUCGGGAGCUAGCACAGGUGCUGCAUGGCUGUCGUCAGCUCGUGUCGUGAGAUGUUCGGUUAAGUCCGCUAACGAGCGCAACCCUUACUGUGUGUUAUAUGUGUCACACGGGACCGCCGGUCUUAAGCCGGAGGAAGGUGGGAUGACGUCAAGUCAGCAUGGCCUUUAUAUCCUGGGCUACACACACGCUACAAUGGCCAACACAAUAGGUUGCUAAGCCGCGAGGUGGAGCCAAUCCAUAAAGUUGGUCUCAGUUCAGAUUGUAGGCUGCAACCCGCCUGCAUGAAGAUGGAGUUGCUAGUAACCGCAGGUCAGCUAUACUGCGGUGAAUACGUUCCCGGGGCUU
rnacentral:rRNA from 1 species